rnacentral:rRNA from 1 species
GACGUAGGGCGCGAGCGUUGUCCGGAUUUAUUGGGCGUAAAGAGCUCGUAGGCGGCCUGUCGCGUCGACCGUGAAAACCCGCAGCUCAACUGCGGGCUUGCGGUCGAUACGGGCAGGCUGGAGUUCGGUAGGGGAGACUGGAAUUCCUGGUGUAGCGGUGAAAUGCGCAGAUAUCAGGAGGAACACCGGUGGCGAAGGCGGCAUCCUGGACUGGUACUGACGCUCAGGAGCGAAAGCGUGGGGAGCGAUCCGG